GACGUAGGGCGCGAGCGUUUGUCCGGAUUUAUUGGGCGUAAAGAGCUCGUAGGCGGCUCGUUGCGUCGGCUGUGAAAACCCGCAGCUCAACUGUGGGCUUGCAGCUGAUACGGGCGGGCUGGAGUUCGGUAGGGGAGACUGGAAUUCCUGGUGUAGCGGUGAAAUGCGCAGAUAUCAGGAGGAACACCGGUGGCGAAGGCGGGUCUCUGGGCCGAUACUGACGCUGAGGAGCGAAAGCGUGGGGAGCGAACAGG
rnacentral:rRNA from 1 species